GAGAAGUAUAGUUUCCAAAUUUUUAGGACCACAAAGCCCAGCUCAGCUCAGCGUGCGCUGCGACUGCGAUGCGAGCUCAGCUCGGUCGGGCUCGAGAGAAUCGCGGAGCAAGAGCAGCAGCCUCGGAUCGGAUCCAUGGGUUUUGCUUCGGCAACCUGCCAGGCGCUCGCGGAUGAGUCGCCGUCGGCGGCGCCGGGAUCCUUCUUCUUCUGCACGCGCGUGAGGAGUAAGCUGGCCCGUCGUCGCCGCGUGCUGGGAUCUGGUGCAGGUGCAGCGACCAUGCUCCUCGAUCAGAACCUCGCCGUCGCCGGCCGCCGCACCACCCUGCAAGCCCCUCGCCGCCGGCGUCCCGUCACAGCACCCGUGUGGCGGCGCUACGCCGACAACAGGAGGAAGAAAUGCCUUUUUUGCCGGAGGACAGCGCAAAGAGAUGAGAACGAGUUGGCAGAUGCGAUACAUUCCGGCGCCGUAUCCCCGGUCCCCCUCCGUGCGUGCCCAAGUCUUGUGGCUUGCAUCGGCGAGCACCGCCUCGACCGCGAGCACGGCAUGAGAUGCAGAAUAUGCAACAGUGUCGCUCGCUGCGUGCUGCCGUGGAAGGCGUCGCCGGCGAACCUGAUAGACCGCAAUGCUCAGAGGUUUCAGCACAUCCGUGCUCGCGGCGGCGUCAGGACACUGGAUCGGACGCUGAACGAUGCAUGCGGCAUGCCCGAUCUGCUAGCUCAGGAUGGUGGCCGGCGACUGUCCGCACGCUCUCCUGCGGGCAUGACUUCCACGAGGAUUGCAACAUCGCGAAGUGGCUCCGUGACAACAAGAAGGCCUGCCCAGACAAUGUCUACUAAUGGGGGCUUAGAACAUUUUGAUUCACUCUUUGCUGCAAACUCCCUGCCGCUCGUACGGUCGCCGGCAGCGACCAAAUGCCACCGCCUCACUCGAGCUCCGCCACCGCACGUCGCCGGCUGCCAUAGCUCAUUUCUUGGCCAAUCCGAGCCGUCCACCACAUCCCCAUACUACACUCGUUCAUUCCCAGUUGCCCAUUCCUCCUACCUCGCCGCCGUUCGCCGGAACCCGUCGAACUUCGUCCGCCGUCCAAUUGCCCCGCGAUCUCCUCUGUCUUGGUCAAAGCUACAUGGCAGGACUAGUCGUCCGCCGUGGGCAAGGACCUUCAGCGGCUUGGCGAAGAGGAGAAGGGCCACCCUUGGUCGCUGGAGGGGGAGGAGAUGUCGAUCGCGCUGGAGAUGA
rnacentral:lncRNA from 1 species